UACGUAGGGGGCAAGCGUUGUCCGGAAUCAUUGGGCGUAAAGAGCGUGUAGGCGGCCCGAUAAGUCCGCUGUGAAAGUCCAGGGCUCAACCCUGGAAUGCCGGUGGAUACUGUCGGGCUCGAAUCCGGAAGAGGUGAGUGGAAUUCCUGGUGUAGCGGUGAAAUGCGCAGAUAUCAGGAGGAACACCAAUGGCGAAGGCAGCUCACUGGGACGGUAUUGACGCUGAGGCGCGAAAGCUAGGGGAGCAAACGGG
rnacentral:rRNA from 1 species